UGGGGAAUUUUGGACAAUGGGCGAAAGCCUGAUCCAGCAAUGCCGCGUGUGUGAAGAAGGCCUUCGGGUUGUAAAGCACUUUUGUCCGGAAAGAAAUUCUUGGCUCUAAUACAGUCGGGGGAUGACGGUACCGGAAGAAUAAGCACCGGCUAACUACGUGCCAGCAGCCGCGGUAAUACGUAGGGUGCAAGCGUUAAUCGGAAUUACUGGGCGUAAAGCGUGCGCAGGCGGUUUGCUAAGACCGAUGUGAAAUCCCCGGGCUCAACCUGGGAACUGCAUUGGUGACUGGCAGGCUAGAGUAUGGCAGAGGGGGGUAGAAUUCCACGUGUAGCAGUGAAAUGCGUAGAGAUGUGGAGGAAUACCGAUGGCGAAGGCAGCCCCCUGGGCCAAUACUGACGCUCAUGCACGAAAGCGUGGGGAGCAAACAGGAUUAGAUACCCUGGUAGUCCACGCCCUAAACGAUGUCAACUAGUUGUUGGGGAUUCAUUUCCUUAGUAACGUAGCUAACGCGUGAAGUUGACCGCCUGGGGAGUACGGUCGCAAGAUUAAAACUCAAAUGAAUUGACGGGGUCAUAGCUGUUUCCU
rnacentral:rRNA from 1 species